rnacentral:lncRNA from 10 species
GUCUGCCUAACUGCAAAACAAUUUGGUUGGCUUAUAAAUUGCUGCCUCUAUCAUGUGCUUCUGAAUUAAAAGGAACGGAUGGUUUUUAAAGGUUUAUCUGUUUCAUUAUUGAUGCAGAAUGACCUCGUGCUGACAAAUUUCGAUUUUCACACGGUUUCUUUGCUGAUGCAGUAUCUCUGCCACCCAUGCUCUAGGGCAGCGUGGAGCCACUUCAGAGCAUGGCUUUUGUGAGCCAGCGCCCAGCAGGGUGUUCUUUUCUGAGUGCAAAGAGAGAAUCCACUGACCUCAUUUGCUUCCAUCCUGUGAACCUCUCAGUGUGUUUCAGAACACCAGGGUCUGAACAGAGAAGCUUCAGAAUACUUUCUCCGACUAGAGAACUUUUUUAUGGUGGGAGGAAAAAAUGUUGCCAGUCCCACUUCACAGACACCUGGAAUUCAUGAAGUCUGAGGACUUCUUUCAUUUUACUUUCAACUAAAAGCUCUAGCACGAAACAGCAAAGGCUCACAGAACUAAAGAUCAGGAGGUGGCCCUGUGAGAGGGUGUUCAGCCUGGAUCCCUGGUGAAACUCCAUCAUUGAGCAGCAUAUCUACUUCAGAAAGCGUGGAAAGAAAAGAGCCUGGUGGGAAAAGUCUAUCAAGUGAUAGUGACGUGCCCUUAUGGAAAAAAUUCUGGGAUAACACCCUCCAAAACCCCGCAAGGUGAAGCUCAUGUCAUCCAAAACCAAGGCAUGAGCCAGAGCCUAAAUAGAGGAAAGAAAAUAGAAGAGAGAAUUCUAGCGACAUAUCUGGUCAUCAUUCCAAGCAACCUGGCUGAACUUUUGCAUCGACAAACAAUUUUUUCUUGAGCAUUUUUAAAUUUACAAGCUGGUUUUCAACAAAGCUUUUCAAAAAGAAGUCUUUAUGAUGGUAAAUCUUUAAAAGAAAUGUGUUUUAGACCAAGAAAGGCAAACCUUUCAUGUCCUGUUUAGUCUCUAGCAUGCUUGUUUUCAAAACACAAGCUCCAGUCUGCAUGUUUCUGCAGUCAACUGUCUGUCUUAGAAAAUAUCUCAAAAUC